rnacentral:rRNA from 1 species
ACCCGCUGAACUUAAGCAUAUCAAUAAGCGGAGGAAAAGAAACCAACAGGGAUUGCCCUAGUAACGGCGAGUGAAGCGGCAACAGCUCAAAUUUGAAAUCUGGCGUCUUUGGCGUCCGAGUUGUAAUUUGCAGAGGGCGCUUUGGCAUUGGCAGCGGUCCAAGUUCCUUGGAACAGGACGUCACAGAGGGUGAGAAUCCCGUACGUGGUCGCUAGCCUUUACCGUGUAAAGCCCCUUCGACGAGUCGAGUUGUUUGGGAAUGCAGCUCUAAAUGGGAGGUAAAUUUCUUCUAAAGCUAAAUACUGGCCAGAGACCGAUAGCGCACAAGUAGAGUGAUCGAAAGAUGAAAAGCACUUUGGAAAGAGAGUUAAAAAGCACGUGAAAUUGUUGAAAGGGAAGCGCUUGCAGCCAGACUUGCCUGUAGUUGCUCAUCCGGGUUUUUACCCGGUGCACUCUUCUAUAGGCAGGCCAGCAUCAGUUUGGGCGGUUGGAUAAAGGUCUCUGUCACGUACCUCCUCUCGGGGAGAACUUAUAGGGGAGACGUAAUGCAACCAGCCUGGACUGAGGUCCGCGCAUCUGCUAGGAUGCUGGCGUAAUGGCUGUAAGCGGCCCGUCUUGAAACACGGACCAAGGAGUCUAACAUCUAUGCGAGUGUUUGGGUGUCAAGCCCGAGCGCGUAAUGAAAGUGAACGGAGGUGGGAACCUUUCGGGGUGCACCAUCGACCGAUCCUGAUGUCUUCGGAUGGAUUUGAGUAAGAGCAUAGCUGUUGGGACCCGAAAGAUGGUGAACUAUGCUUGAAUAGGGUGAAGCCAGAGGAAACUCUGGUGGAGGCUCGCAGCGGUUCUGACGUGCAGAUCGAUCGUCAAAUUUGGGCAUAGGGGCGAAAGACUAAUCGAACUAUCUAGUA